rnacentral:rRNA from 1 species
UACAGAGGUGGCAAGCGUUGUUCGGAUUUACUGGGCGUAAAGGGUGCGUAGGCGGCCCUGUGUGUCGGAUGUGAAAGCUCCUGGCUUAACCGGGAAACGGCAUUCGAAACUGCAGGGCUAGAGUACAGGAGAGGAGAGCGGAAUUCUCGGUGUAGCGGUGAAAUGCGUAGAGAUCGAGAGGAACGCCGGUGGCGAAGGCGGCUCUCUGGAAUGAUACUGACGCUGAGGCACGAAAGCUGGGGGAGCAAACAGG